UACGUAGGGUGCAAGCGUUGUCCGGAAUUAUUGGGCGUAAAGAGCUCGUAGGCGGUUUGUCGCGUCUGCUGUGAAAACCCGGGGCUCAACUCCGGGCCUGCAGUCGAUACGGGCUGGCUUGAGUGCGGUAGGGGAGACUGGAAUUCCUGGUGUAGCGGUGAAAUGCGUAGAUAUCUGGAGGAAUACCGGUGGCGAAGGCGGCAUCCUGGACCGGCAUUGACGCUGAGGAGCGAAAGCUGGGGGAGCAAACAGG
rnacentral:rRNA from 1 species